rnacentral:rRNA from 1 species
CCUACGGGUGGCAGCAGUGGGGAAUAUUGGACAAUGGGCGAAAGCCUGAUCCAGCCAUGCCGCGUGUGUGAAGAAGGCCUUCGGGUUGUAAAGCACUUUCAGUGGGGAAGAAAGCCUUGGGGCUAAUACCCUCGAGGAAGGACAUCACCCACAGAAGAAGCACCGGCUAACUCCGUGCCAGCAGCCGCGGUAAUACGGAGGGUGCGAGCGUUAAUCGGAAUUACUGGGCGUAAAGCGCGCGUAGGCGGUCUGAUAAGCCGGUUGUGAAAGCCCCGGGCUCAACCUGGGAACGGCAUCCGGAACUGUCAGGCUAGAGUGCAGGAGAGGAAGGUAGAAUUCCCGGUGUAGCGGUGAAAUGCGUAGAGAUCGGGAGGAAUACCAGUGGCGAAGGCGGCCUUCUGGACUGACACUGACGCUGAGGUGCGAAAGCGUGGGUAGCAAACAGGAUUAGCUACCUGGUCGUC